AUUUUUUGCAAGCAAAGAUUUUUGUGGGCACAAUCUUCUCUGAAACAUCGAUAGACUCUUCUUAAAAACAUUGCUGCUACGUUUGUAAACAGCUUGGUAUUUACAAUUUUAUUAAGAGAGAUUGUUAAUUUUGUUAUUUUUCUGCUUAUUGUCACAUUUUACCACAUGCUCUGACAUUGUUACAAACAAUUUUCAAACAAUGACAUGUAACAA